rnacentral:rRNA from 7 species
AAAUUGAAGAGUUUGAUCAUGGCUCAGAUUGAACGCUGGCGGCAGGCCUAACACAUGCAAGUCGAACGGUAACAGGAAGCAGCUUGCUGCUUCGCUGACGAGUGGCGGACGGGUGAGUAAUGUCUGGGAAACUGCCUGAUGGAGGGGGAUAACUACUGGAAACGGUGGCUAAUACCGCAUAACGUCGCAAGACCAAAGAGGGGGACCUUCGGGCCUCUUGCCAUCAGAUGUGCCCAGAUGGGAUUAGCUUGUUGGUGAGGUAACGGCUCACCAAGGCGACGAUCCCUAGCUGGUCUGAGAGGAUGACCAGCCACACUGGAACUGAGACACGGUCCAGACUCCUACGGGAGGCAGCAGUGGGGAAUAUUGCACAAUGGGCGCAAGCCUGAUGCAGCCAUGCCGCGUGUAUGAAGAAGGCCUUCGGGUUGUAAAGUACUUUCAGCGGGGAGGAAGGUGUUGUGGUUAAUAACCGCAGCAAUUGACGUUACCCGCAGAAGAAGCACCGGCUAACUCCGUGCCAGCAGCCGCGGUAAUACGGAGGGUGCAAGCGUUAAUCGGAAUUACUGGGCGUAAAGCGCACGCAGGCGGUCUGUCAAGUCGGAUGUGAAAUCCCCGGGCUCAACCUGGGAACUGCAUUCGAAACUGGCAGGCUUGAGUCUUGUAGAGGGGGGUAGAAUUCCAGGUGUAGCGGUGAAAUGCGUAGAGAUCUGGAGGAAUACCGGUGGCGAAGGCGGCCCCCUGGACAAAGACUGACGCUCAGGUGCGAAAGCGUGGGGAGCAAACAGGAUUAGAUACCCUGGUAGUCCACGCCGUAAACGAUGUCUACUUGGAGGUUGUGCCCUUGAGGCGUGGCUUCCGGAGCUAACGCGUUAAGUAGACCGCCUGGGGAGUACGGCCGCAAGGUUAAAACUCAAAUGAAUUGACGGGGGCCCGCACAAGCGGUGGAGCAUGUGGUUUAAUUCGAUGCAACGCGAAGAACCUUACCUGGUCUUGACAUCCACAGAACUUUCCAGAGAUGGAUUGGUGCCUUCGGGAACUGUGAGACAGGUGCUGCAUGGCUGUCGUCAGCUCGUGUUGUGAAAUGUUGGGUUAAGUCCCGCAACGAGCGCAACCCUUAUCCUUUGUUGCCAGCGGUCCGGCCGGGAACUCAAAGGAGACUGCCAGUGAUAAACUGGAGGAAGGUGGGGAUGACGUCAAGUCAUCAUGGCCCUUACGACCAGGGCUACACACGUGCUACAAUGGCGCAUACAAAGAGAAGCGACCUCGCGAGAGCAAGCGGACCUCAUAAAGUGCGUCGUAGUCCGGAUUGGAGUCUGCAACUCGACUCCAUGAAGUCGGAAUCGCUAGUAAUCGUGGAUCAGAAUGCCACGGUGAAUACGUUCCCGGGCCUUGUACACACCGCCCGUCACACCAUGGGAGUGGGUUGCAAAAGAAGUAGGUAGCUUAACCUUCGGGAGGGCGCUUACCACUUUGUGAUUCAUGACUGGGGUGAAGUCGUAACAAGGUAACCGUAGGGGAACCUGCGGUUGGAUCACCUCCUUACCUUAAAGAA